rnacentral:rRNA from 1 species
CAAGUCGAACGCGAAAGCCGCAAGGCGAGUAGCGUGGCGGACGGGUGCGUAACGCGUAGUCAAGUUACCUUCGAGACGGGGAUAACCGCGGGAAACCGCGGCUAAUACCGGAUGGUCCAGCGUGGUUGCAUGAUCGUGCUGGUAAAUGGGGGGGAUCCUUCGGGACCUCCUGCUCGGGGAGACGACUGCGUCCUAUCAGCUAGUUGGCGGGGUAACGGCCCACCAAGGCAUUGACGGGUAGCCGGCCUGAGAGGGUGGUCGGCCACACUGGGACUGAGACACUGCCCAGACUCCUACGGGAGGCUGCAGUCGAGAAUCUUCCGCAAUGGGCGAAAGCCUGACGGAGCGACGCCGCGUGGAGGACGAAGGCCUUCGGGUUGUAAACUCCUGUCACGGAUCAUGAAUGGCGUUCCAUGAACAAUGGAACGAUUGACGUAAGUCCGAGAGGAAGCACCGGCUAACUCUGUGCCAGCAGCCGCGGUAAUACAGAGGGUGCGAACGUUGUUCGGAAUCACUGGGCAUAAAGCGCACGUAGGCGGCACCGCAAGUGUGGGGUGAAAUCCCACGGCUUACCCGUGGAACUGCCUGGCAGACUGCGGUGCUAGAGGUUGGUAGGGGAGAGCGGAACUCUUGGUGGAGCGGUGAAAUGCGUAGAUAUCAAGAGGAACACCGGUGGCGAAGGCGGCUCUCUGGUCCAAUCCUGACGCUGAGGUGCGAAAGCUAGGGGAGCAAACGGGAUUAGAUACCCCGGUAGUCCUAGCUGUAAACGAUGGGCACUAGCUUGGGGUCACCCCGUGUGAUCCCA